rnacentral:rRNA from 1 species
CCUACGGGCGGCAGCAGUCGAGAAUCUUUCACAAUGGGGGAAACCCUGAUGGUGCGACGCCGCGUGGGGGAAUGAAGGUCUUCGGAUUGUAAACUCCUGUCAUGUGGGAGCAAAUUAAAAAGAUAGUACCACAAGAGGCAGAGACGGUUAACUCUGUGCCAGCAGCCGCGGUAAUACAGAGGUCUCAAGCGUUGUUCGGAAUCACUGGGCGUAAAGCGUGCGACGGCUGUUGCGUAAGUCGUGUGUGAAGGGCGCGGGCGCAACCCGCUGACGGCACAUGAUACUGCGAGUCGAGAGUAAUGGAGGGGGAACCGGAAUUCUCGUUGUAGCAGGGAAAGGGGU